GCCGGGUGCGGUGGUUCACGCCUGUAAUCCCAGCACUUUGGGAGGCUGAGGCGGGCGGAUCACGAAGUCAGGAGAUCGAGACCAUCCUGGCUAACCCGGCGAAACCCCGUCUCUACUAAAAAUACAAAAAAAUUAGCUNNNNNNNNNNAGCUAAUUUUUUUGUAUUUUUAGUAGAGACGGGGUUUCGCCGGGUUAGCCAGGAUGGUCUCGAUCUCCUGACCUCAUGAUCCGCCCGCCUCAG
rfam:Chlorocebus sabaeus isolate 1994-021 chromosome 2, whole genome shotgun sequence.